GAUGAACGCUAGCGGCAGGCUUAAUACAUGCAAGUCGUGGGGCAGCAUGUCCCGCAGCAAUGCGGGAUGAUGGCGACCGGCAAACGGGUGCGGAACACGUACGCAACCUUCCUUUAAGUGGGGGAUAGCCCGGGGAAACCCGGAUUAAUACCCCGUAAUAUUAUAGAGUGGCAUCACUUUAUAAUUAUAGCUCCGGCGCUUAAAGAUGGGCGUGCGUCUGAUUAGGUAGUUGGCGGAGUAAUAGCCCACCAAGCCUACGAUCAGUAACUG
rnacentral:rRNA from 1 species